GAAAGGUAUGCUAAUACGGGAUAAUAUAUUUGAGAGGCAUCUCUUAAAUAUCAAAGGUGAGCCAGUACAGGAUGGACCCGCGUCUGAUUAGCUAGUUGGUAAGGUAACGGCUUACCAAGGCGACGAUCAGUAGCCGACCUGAGAGGGUGAUCGGCCACAUUGGAACUGAGACACGGUCCAAACUCCUACGGGAGGCAGCAGUGGGGAAUAUUGCACAAUGGGCGAAAGCCUGAUGCAGCAACGCCGCGUGAGUGAUGAAGGCCUUCGGGUCGUAAAACUCUGUCCUCAAGGAAGAUAAUGACGGUACUUGAGGAGGAAGCCCCGGCUAACUACGUGCCAGCAGCCGCGGUAAUACGUAGGGGGCUAGCGUUAUCCGGAUUUACUGGGCGUAAAGGGUGCGUAGGCGGUCUUUCAAGUCAGGAGUGAAAGGCUACGGCUCAACCGUAGUAAGCUCUUGAAACUGGGAGACUUGAGUGCAGGAGAGGAGAGUGGAAUUCCUAGUGUAGCGGUGAAAUGCGUAGAUAUUAGGAGGAACACCAGUUGCGAAGGCGGCUCUCUGGACUGUAACUGACGCUGAGGCACGAAAGCGUGGGGAGCAAACAGGAUUAGAUACCCUGGUAGUCC
rnacentral:rRNA from 1 species